rnacentral:rRNA from 1 species
UACGUAGGGUGCAAGCGUUGUCCGGAAUUAUUGGGCGUAAAGGGCUCGUAGGCGGUUUGUCACGUCGGGAGUGAAAACUCGGGGCUUAACCCCGAGCCUGCUUCCGAUACGGGCAGACUAGAGGUAUGCAGGGGAGAACGGAAUUCCGGGUGUAGCGGUGGAAUGCGUAGAGAUCCGGAAGAACACCGGUGGCGAAGGCGGCCUGCUGGGCAGUGGCUGACGCUGAGGCGCGACAGCGUGGGGAGCAAACAGG